rnacentral:rRNA from 1 species
GUCCACGCCCUAAACGAUGAUUACUCGACGUUGGCGAUACACUGAUCAGCGUCCAAGCGAAAGCAUUAAGUAAUCCACCUGGGAAGUACGUUAGCAAGAAUGAAACUCAAAGGAAUUGACGGGGGUCGCACAAGCGGUGGAGCAUGUGGUUUAAUUCGAUGAUACGCGAGGAACCUUACCUGGGCUAGAAUGCUACGUGACCGGUCCUGAAAGGGAUUUUAUAGCAAUAUACACGUAGUAAGGUGCUGCAUGGCUGUCGU